AACAGGUGAACGAUUCUGGGGUGAGAAAGUCUGCAGAAAAGUGCGUUGCUAAUGCCUCUGAUGAAGAGAAUGAAAGUGUAGGUUAUUCAUUACGACCAAAUCCCAGUCAUUCAGUAAUAGCUCGAGUUUCAUAUAGUGUGUAUGAGGGCAUUCAUGGGUCAAAUAGAGGCUGCAGACUUGGAUUGGUCGAGUGUUUGGUUGGGUACUGAAUUGAGGUUUAGAAGCUGACUACUCUCAACUGAUGGGUAUCCUUCCAAAGGGAGCGAGGUUGAUGCAGCUAUUAUACGUAUAAUGAAUACAAGGAAAGUGCUAAGCCACGCCUCUGAGAACCUUUUGGUCUUUGAUACUGAAAUCGAAGCAACUAGGACUUGAAGAAUGCAAAACCAAUGGUUGAUUGGAUAGCGUGGCAGAACCACAAUAUGAUUUCAACUCGAUUAUCGAUGAGUGGUAAUGGAAUUGGACUUUAAUCAUGAAGCAGGCUCCAUGGACACCGUGGAUGUCUUGAUCCAGAAGUGUUUCAGGUAUUAUUAUUCUUGAUGCACCACCUUGAUCUCGUUAUGCUUUUCUCUCUUCCUACUCUAUUAUUAUAGCUAAUUUUCUUGUGAGCAAGGAACCCCACUUUGUCCAAUUUUGCAAGACUUCAGGCGUAGGAAGAGAGUGUCAGCCACUAUCAAACAAGGACUUAAUCAAGAUUUUAAGUGAAAAAGCCGAGUAACUUUUCCCCUUUAAUGCAUUAAUUCCUUAUUUUUUUGUUGCUGUUCUUUCGAUCCUUGAUGAGCCUAACUGGGCACUCCGGUAUUGUCUGAUCUGUAGGAGGCCAGGGGCAUUCUAUCUUCUUCUUGUAUGAUUUUUUUUCCAAAAAAGCUUGAAAAACAUAAAUUACUAAAUUAGAGUAACAGAUGACGUUCCUUGAAAGUUUGCAUAAGUGGAUUUCAGAGAGAAAUUUAGUUUUGCGUCUUUGCUACUAAUAAGGGCUUCUAAAUUAUUGCACCAUGCCGCUGAUUGAUGUAGUUUCCUUUUAAAAUUGAACAAUCAAUGAUUGAAUACAGACCAAUCUGAAAUAAACAAAUUUCAUCCACCUUUUAACCUAAAAUCCUUGAACAAAUGCUAGUGUCAAAGAUUCUUGAAAAACAAGUUAUUUAUUUCUCUUUGCUCUUUCUGAUGAUUUCGUUGUGAAUGUAUUUGUGCUUCACUAUCAGAAUGAAAGUUUAUUCAAACAAUUACUUUGUUUUACUUUUCAGGUAACAUACCGAAGUAUCCAAAACUCUGUACUAACCUUGAGCCCUUUGUUUCCUGUGUUUAAAUUUAAUGGUAAACAAAGUCCCUCAUAAAACUUGAGCUUUGAGGACAAUGUGCUUCAGAAUUCAUGGCUUGACCAGAUAGUGAUUUUAUUCUUGUUAUUCUUUGCAUGCCUUCACUGCCACAAAUUUGUUGAUGUUAAUAUUCUUGUGUGAUUCUGUUGCAGGGGGAUAAUGUGGCACUUUUGUCUGCUUUUGCUGAAAUGGACUUGGGUUGCUGGGGACCUUCCUGAGCAGGCUAUGGGUGUAAAAAAUGUAGUCUUCCGUGCUUCUACACCAGCAAGGCUAUCCCUUAACCAUAAAAUCUAUACCAGACCAAAGAGCAAAAGGUAUGAAGGCCGUCCAGGAAAAAUCAAACUCAACUAGAAGGAAGUAUCACACUUAAAUCCUGGACACUGGUAUUUAUGCGGGUUCUAAAUCUUUCUCGGGGUCUCCAGUACCAUUUGCCUUGGCAAUAAAAACAUCUUUUCCCUAUUUAAUUUGGCAAUAAAAAAAUAUCUUUUCCCUAUUUAAUUUGUUUAUAAAUAUCUUAUGCUUUACAGGUCUUUCAUCAAUAAUGGAUGCUCGCAAUGUGUAUAUGAUGCUGCCUUUUGCGGAAUCUGUUCUUCAAGGGGCAGCAACAAAUGCAGAGUGGGUCUAUGACACACCUUUUCUCUCUGAUGUCGAAGCCAAACCGAGGCAGCUCCUCAUUAAGCUAGGGUAUGAAGGUAUGUGCCUCCAAAGAUGGGAAAGCUAUUAACUUAUUAUAGAUACUGCUGCUGGCAUGCUUGGGAAGUAAGAUCCUCCUGUUCAGCCUGACAGCCUAUUUCCAGUUUUCUGGGUAACAAAAGGGAUAACAACAGGAUUGGUGCAUCCACUCAUUGAUAGCGGAAAGCUUAAGCUCGAAGAAAUUGUUGCAAUAAUUUGGCCAGUGUUCGGAGCGAAUGUAAAAGACAACAUAAAGGUUUGCGGUGGAACUCCUAUACUCUUUACUUCAGUUUCAAAAAUGGUGCAAGAAUAUAUUUUCCUCAAGUUCCCAUUUUCUUGUGUUUUCGGUGUUAGGCACAUCAUGUGCUCAACCACACCUCUGGUCUGCACAAUGCAUUAGCUAACAUUAUGUCAGAAAUUCCUCCAUUACUGUGCGAAAGGGACGGAUGUUUUUAUCCUUUGAUGUGGCUUUGCGGUGGGUUUAUCGAGGUAUUUAUAAAUUGUUCAUUAUUAACUGUAUAAAGUAUUAGGGGUGCAAGAAGCAUAGAUCACGGGGAUUAGAUGUAGUUUUGAUCUGUUUAACAAAAGGCGUGGGUCUAGUAUCAUCACAGCACACAAUUAAAGAUCAAAACGAUCUCAUGGCAGCUUAAACACAUUCUGUUGUUUAUCUCCAUCUACUGGCACCGAGAAGAUGCUACAGAAACAAAAUAACAACCCAGUUCUUUGCUCUGACUGACCUCUUUCCUUUUGAUCCACCCUUCUCUCCUUCUCUUUGUACUUUCUUUUUUUUUUAAAUGUGGACAUUUCCCUGCAUCUAAUUACGGGAUCACAAAUAUACAGCAUGCAUCUUGUAUAAAAUUACAUGAUGUUUUGGAAGAAAAGCUCAUACAUCCACUCAACAUUGAAGGUGAGCUGUAUAUUGGUGUUCCUCCAGGCAAGCUCUUCAAUUUCAGAUACUCCUCAAUAGUUAUAGUUGACCUGAUAUUGAUAAAUGUUGUAGACAUUCACACUUAGGGUUUUUAAUCAAAUAUCAUUACUUUCUAUCCCCAAAAAAUUUGCAUAACAUAUUAACAUAUCGACAUCAUGCAAGGUAUUUCCAGGUGUGGAAUCCCGACUAGCAACACUGACGCAUGAUAUGGAAGAUCUCAAAUGCCUGUCAAAUAUCGGCAAUAGACCUGACUUAUCGUCAAGUUUCGAGCCAGAGAACCCGUCUCAGCUAGUGACAGUGCUUCCAACUAGAGUGUUAGCCCCUUAUUCUGCAACUCUUGCGGGUGGUAUUCACUAGGUAGUCCAUCCGCAUAUACCAAAUUCCCUACAGCAAAAAGGUGAAAAAGGAAGUGACCCGAAUUAGAGAGGUAUUGUUUUUAAAAGCCAGACUUAGAGAACAGAUCAAACCCAGUUGCACUAAUGACAGUACUGGUAGCAGUUGUGAAAGCAGUGAGACUUCCAAAGAUAAUCUUGAAACUACGAUUAAGGUUGACAGAAUGUUCAGUAGCCCAUAAGUUCUCGAUGCAUUCUCAGGUGUGGUAGAGAUUACAGGAAUGUGGUUGUACCCAAUAGGAAGUUCGAUUGCGGUUUAGAAGGUUCAAUUCAACAGAUGGAUCCAUCAUCAGUUUUGGUGGAUUUACAGUUCAGAAUAAGGUGGUUGUUCAGAUGGAUCGCUUGAGUUCUCGCAGAAUGUUAGGGGGUAUUAACAGUAGCAACAGGUGAUAUCUUUUUCUCAUUUGAUUCCAGUGUCUUGUCCAACUCUGUAUCAUCAGCUUUACAAGAUAAUCUUGAAGCAAAAUCUCCCUCCAAAAGUAGCAUUCUUCUUCAGGUGUGUCAUAUCCAGAUUGAAAGAGGUCUAAACGUUGAGGGGCCAAGUGCGUUAUAUCUGAGAUGAGAUGGUGACCUUGGACCAUGUUUUCCAUCAUUGCUCCCUUGCUAAAUCUGUUUGGAGCUACUUUGUGUAGGAGGUAAAUUGGGAGCUUGCCAUGACUAAAGAUCUGUCUUGCUGGUCCAGAAAAGACUUCGACAAAUAUUACAAUAAGAUUUAGUUUAUUGUGUUGGCGGUGAUCAUUUGGAGAGUGUGGUUGGGAAACUCAAGUUCUUCGCCCUGACAAGGCAAAAUUCCUCCUUUUAAGCUUGACUUUGGUGUUUAAGAAUUUUGAAAAUGUUUGUCUUUUAGCAAUGUAAGUAGGGCCUGGAAAGAAAUGUAAGUAAUCAUAGGAAAAAAUAAUCCAUGAGGACCACAGUCCACACAUCAUCACCGGAAGGUCGAUUGAGUUGGUUAUUUGUAAAGUAUAAUAUGCCUUUAAAGUUGCUUAUGCGCUGGUAAUG